rnacentral:rRNA from 1 species
GACGAACGCUGGCGGCGUGCUUAACACAUGCAAGUCGAACGGAAAGGCCCUGCUUUUGUGGGGUGCUCGAGUGGCGAAAGGGUGAGUAACACGUGAGUAACCUGCCCUUGACUUUGGGAUAACUUCAGGAAACUGGGGCUAAUACCGGAUAGGAGCUCCUGCUGCAUGGUGGGGGUUGGAAAGUUUCGGCGGUUGGGGAUGGACUCGCGGCUUAUCAGCUUGUUGGUGGGGUAGUGGCUUACCAAGGCUUUGACGGGUAGCCGGCCUGAGAGGGUGACCGGCCACAUUGGGACUGAGAUACGGCCCAGACUCCUACGGGGGGCAGCAGUGGGGAAUAUUGCACAAUGGGCGGAAGCCUGAUGCAGCAACGCCGCGUGCGGGAUGACGGCCUUCGGGUUGUAAACCGCUUUCGCCUGUGACGAAGCGUGAGUGACGGUAAUGGGUAAAGAAGCACCGGCUAACUACGUG